rnacentral:rRNA from 1 species
ACAGAGGCCUCAAGCGUUAGGCGGAAUCACUGGGUUUAAAGGGUGCGUAGGCGGACAGGUAAGUCAGCGGUGAAAUCUCUGGGCUUAACUCAGAAACUGCCGUUGAUACUAUCUGUCUUGAAUAUCCUGGAGGUAAGCGGAAUAUGUCAUGUAGCGGUGAAAUGCUUAGAUAUGACAUAGAACACCGAUAGCGAAGGCAGCUUACUACGGGUUCAUUGACGCUGAGGCACGAAAGCGUGGGGAGCAAACAGGA